UGUAGUGUGGCUCAGUGGUGGAGUGCUUGCCUAGCAUGCAGGAGGCCUUGGGUUUGAUUUUCAGCAUCACAA
rnacentral:tRNA from 1 species